ACUCCUACGGGAGGCAGCAGUGAGGAAUAUUGGACAAUGGAGGCAACUCUGAUCCAGCCAUGCCGCGUGCAGGAAGACUGCCCUAUGGGUUGUAAACUGCUUUUAUACGGGAAGAAACAGCUCUACGUGUAGAGCCUUGACGGUACCGUAAGAAUAAGCACCGGCUAACUCCGUGCCAGCAGCCGCGGUAAUACGGAGGGUGCAAGCGUUAUCCGGAAUCAUUGGGUUUAAAGGGUCCGUAGGCGGACGAUUAAGUCAGAGGUGAAAGUCUGCAGCUCAACUGUAGAAUUGCCUUUGAUACUGGUUGUCUUGAAUUAUUGUGAAGUGGUUAGAAUAAGUAGUGUAGCGGUGAAAUGCAUAGAUAUUACUUAGAAUACCAAUUGCGAAGGCAGAUCACUAACAAUAUAUUGAACGCUGAAGGGACGAAAGCGUGGGGAAGCGAACAGGAUUAGAUACCCUGGUAGGAUAGCG
rnacentral:rRNA from 1 species